rnacentral:rRNA from 1 species
CCCUUAGAUGUUUUGGGCCGCACGCGCGCUACACUGAUGCAUUCAACGAGCCUAUCCUUGACCGACAGGUCCGGGUAAUCUUUGAAUCUGCAUCGUGACGGGGAUAGAUUAUUGCAAUUAUUAAUCUUCAACGAGGAAUGCCUAGUAGGCGCAAGUCAUCAGCUUGCGUCGAUUACGUCCCUGCCCUUUGUACACACCGCCCGUCGCUCCUACCGAUUGGGUGUGCUGGUGAAAUGUUCGGAUCGGCCGUUUGUCGCGGUUUCCGCGGCUCGUGGCUGAGAAGUUCAUUAAACCCUCCCACCUAGAGGAAGGAGAAGUCGUAACA